rnacentral:rRNA from 1 species
GUGGGGAAUUUUCCGCAAUGGGCGCAAGCCUGACGGAGCGACGCCGCGUACAGGAUGAAGUCUUUCGGGAUGUAAACUGUUUUCAGCAGGGAAGAAACAAUGACGGUACCUGCAGAAGAAGCAUCGGCUAACUACGUGCCAGCAGCCGCGGUAAUACGUAGGAUGCGAGCGUUGUUCGGAAUUACUGGGCGUAAAGAGUACGUAGGCGGUAUAAUAAGUCUUCUAUUAAAGACAGGAGCUUAACUUCUGGAGUGUAGAGGAAACUGUUAAACUAGAGUGCAGUAGAGGAAGCCGGAAUUCUCAGUGUAGCGGUGAAAUGCGUAGAUAUUGGGAAGAACACCAGCGGCGAAAGCGGGCUUCUGGGCUGUUACUGACGCUGAGGUACGAAAGCGUGGGGAGCAAACGGGAUUAGAAACCCCGGUAGUCC